rnacentral:rRNA from 1 species
AUACGUAGGGUGCAAGCGUUGUCCGGAAUUAUUGGGCGUAAAGAGCUCGUAGGCGGUUUGUCGCGUCUGCUGUGAAAACUGGAGGCUCAACCUCCAGCCUGCAGUGGGUACGGGCAGACUAGAGUGCGGUAGGGGAGAUUGGAAUUCCUGGUGUAGCGGUGGAAUGCGCAGAUAUCAGGAGGAACACCGAUGGCGAAGGCAGAUCUCUGGGCCGUAACUGACGCUGAGGAGCGAAAGCAUGGGGAGCGAACAGGAUUAGAUACCCUGGUAGUCCAUGCCGUAAACGUUGGGAACUAGAUGUGGGGGCCAUUCCACGGUCUCCGUGUCGCAGCUAACGCAUUAAGUUCCCCGCCUGGGGAGUACGGCCGCAAGGCUAAA